rnacentral:rRNA from 1 species
GAGUUUGAUCAUGGCUCAGAUUGAACGCUGGCGGCAGGCCUAACACAUGCAAGUCGAGCGGUAGAGAGAAGCUUGCUUCUCUUGAGAGCGGCGGACGGGUGAGUAAUGCCUAGGAAUCUGCCUGGUAGUGGGGGAUAACGUUCGGAAACGGACGCUAAUACCGCAUACGUCCUACGGGAGAAAGCAGGGGACCUUCGGGCCUUGCGCUAUCAGAUGAGCCUAGGUCGGAUUAGCUAGUUGGUGAGGUAAUGGCUCACCAAGGCGACGAUCCGUAACUGGUCUGAGAGGAUGAUCAGUCACACUGGAACUGAGACACGGUCCAGACUCCUACGGGAGGCAGCAGUGGGGAAUAUUGGACAAUGGGCGAAAGCCUGAUCCAGCCAUGCCGCGUGUGUGAAGAAGGUCUUCGGAUUGUAAAGCACUUUAAGUUGGGAGGAAGGGCAGUUGCCUAAUACGUGAUUGUUUUGACGUACC